CUUGUGUGCACUGAACUGCGAGCCUAUCCCCUUUAUGAAGCUCAGACCAAAGUACACUCAUUCCAGAUGUCCUGUGAAGCAGAAACAAGAUUCCAGAUGCUUAGUUUUCUAUUCUCUCCUGACGUUGGCCUGAGGUGGAAUGUACUCUACUGCCUGGAUGAUGGUGGAAAACCCCCUCUGCAGAAAAAAUGGACACUUGAACACUAGAUGUUCCUUGUGGAUUGAUGCAGCUACAAAGAAGGCAAGACAGCAGCUGUAUUUCAUUAGGAGUUUGAGAAGAUUUGGUAUGUUAUCAACGACACUGGCAAAUUUCUACAGAUAUACCAUCGAAGCAUUCUAACUGGCUGCAUCACCAUCUGGUAUUGGGGGGGGGUGUGGAUGGAGCCUAUUGCACAGGAUUGAAGCAAGUUGCAGAGCAUUGUAAACGUAGUUAGCUCCAUCAUGGGCCCUAGCCUCCACAGUAUUCAGGACAUCUUCAAGGAGUGAUGCUUCAAAAAGGUGCCAUCCAUCAUGAAAGACUCCCAUCACCCAGGUCAUGCCCUCUCCUUAUUGUUACUAUCAACCUGAAGGCACACAUACUCAGCGACUCAGAAACAGCUUCUUCCCCACUCACAUCCAAUUUCUGAAUGGAUAUUAAACCCAUGAACACUACUUCGCUAGGCAAGUUCAUCUGUGGAGUGAUUAAUAUGGGGGAGCUGGAAUUCCUGUUGCACAUUCCAACCAUUUUGGGUGCCGUGUAGACCUGAGGCAUUGAGGGGUCUUUUCUGGUUUCCCUUUGGAUCACCUCUGCCAUAAAAGCGAGACUUUCAAUAUGUAUUGGGGAUCAUACAUCAAGAGGAGUGUCCUCUUUUGUAAAAUCUUCAGGUAUUUUCUUUUUCUAGGGUAGACAGGAUAAUCCAUUAGCAUUUCCUGUCAAGGACAGAGAAGGCACAGAAGCACCUCGAACUUCUUAAAAGCUUGUGCAGGUUUGGCCUGUCAUCUAAAACUUUGAAAAACUUCCGUAGAUGCACAAUGGAGAGAAUCCUGACUUGUAUGGAAACACCAAUGCCCAAGAAAGAAAAGCUACAAAAAGCAAUGGAUGUAGCCAAGUUCAUCACAAGAAAAGCCCUCUUCACUACAAGGAAUGCUGCCAGUGCCGGAGGUGAGAUAUGGACCGAUUCGGCUCACUGCUCUGGGGCCUCUGUGCUGGCCUGAGGCAACUAGUGGACAUCUGGAUUGGCUGCAGUAACACCUGGCUUUGUGAACUUCAGUUCUGAAUGCUGUUUGCUUGGUUUUUAUUGUUUGUUCAAUUUGUUUUUUUUUCUCUCUCAAAGCCUCCAGUCAGAGGGGCAACCAUCUAUUACCACUCUCUGGCUUCUCCCACAAAGCCAAUGUCUAAUCCAAUUUACUACCUCAUCUUGAAUGCUGAGCGACUGAGCCUUCUUGACCAGCCUCCCAUAUGGGACCUUGUUAAAGGCCUUGUAGACAACAUCCACUGCCUUGCCUUUAUCCACUUUCCUGGCAACUUCCUCAAAGAACUCUGUAAGAUUGGUUAGACACAAAGCCAAGCUGACUAUCCCUAAUCAGUCCAUGUUCAUCCAAAUGCUCAAAUAUCUAGUCCCUCAGAAUACCUUCCAAUAACUUCCCCACUACUGACGUGAGGGUCACUGGCCUAUAGUUUCCUAUUUUAGUUUUAGAGCCUUUGUUAAAUAGCAGAACAACACUGGCUAUCCUCCAAUCCCCUGUAUCUCACCGAUUGCUAAGGUUGACUUAAAUACCUCUGCUAUUGUCCCUGCAAUUUCUGAACUUACCUCCUGCUGAGUCCAAGGGAACUCAUUGUCAGGCACUGGGGAUUUAUGCUCCAUCAUAUUAACCUUUUCUACCCUGGGAAAAUUUCUCUAGCUGUCCAGUCGACUGAUGCCUCUCAUAUAGGAAUCAGAAUCAGGUUUAUUAUCACUGACAUACAGUACCUAUAAAAUGUAUUCACCUGCCCCCCCCUCGGAAGUUUUCAUGUUUUAUUGUUUUACAACAUUGAAUCACAGUGGCUUUUUUGACACUGAUCAACCGAAAAAGACUGUUUCAUAUCAAAUUGAAAUCAGAUUUCAACAAAGUGAUCAAAAUAAUUACAAAUAUAAAACACAAAGUAAUUGAUUGCAUAAGUAUUCGCCCCCUUUAACAUGACACAUCAAAUCAUCGCUGGUGCAGCCAAUUGGUUUUAGUAGUCACAUAAUUAGUUAAAUGGAGAUCAUCAUGUGCAGUCAAGGUAUUUCAAUUGAUUGUAGUAAAAAUACAGCUCUAGCUCGCAGGUUGAACUGAAUCAGUAUCCUGGCAAAAACUGCAUCAUAAAGACAAAAGAACACUCCAAGCAACUCCAUGAAGAGGUUAUUGAAAAGCACAAGUCAGGAGAUGGUUACAAGAAAAUUUCCAAGUCAAUGAAUAUUCCUUGGUGUAUAGUUAAGUCAAUCAAGAAAUGGAAAGAAUAUGACACAGCUGUAAAUCUGCCUGGAGCAGGCAGUCCUCAAAAACUGAGUGACCGUGCAAGAAGGGGACUAGUGAGGGAGGCCACCAAGAGACCUAUGACAACUCUGGAGGAGUUACAAGCUUCAGUGGGUGUUGUCAACACAGUGGGAUCUUUAUUAAACAAACUCAUAAAUAACUUAUUCACAAUUCUGUUGGACACAUUAAUGAUAUUGAAUCUUCGCAAGCAAUCUUCUGUUUUGGCACAUUUGGUUUGCUUAUGUGCAUUAACUUUGUCUUCUGUAAUUACACCUCACCUCAAGUAUAAUGUAGUUAGAUUGCAAAACAGACUCCACAGAACAGGCAAAUUUGGAUUGCAGUUUGUUUGGAAAUUGUGAUUCUGAAAUUCUGCAGUGGGAAGAGAUGGUCACCUACCUCUUUGCGGACUGUGGAUUUGCUAAGAGAUUGCUGAAGUCCCAGUUCAUUCCCAGCACCUCUGUAGCAAAGGACACACUGAUCUAUGAGCUGCUCUCGGGAUACACACUGAGACGGACAGUAUGCUGCUGGAAGGUCAUCAACUUGAAGGAUACCCUUUGAUAUGCCCAGAGCUUGUUGGUUUUCCAGCAUAGUGAGGUGUCCGUAAGGGAAUGCUACAGAUUGACACAUGACAGGCUGCAGAAGUCAUGCUAAAGGAUGCACUGAAAUUCAGUACUGUCAAAGCAAAGGCUCUGUGGGGAAGGACCACUGUCUCAGCUUCUUCUGUGUACACACUUAGAGGGGCAGAGUUGAGUGGAGAAGCCCCUCAAACAAUUAAAGCGUAUAUCAGCUCAGGAACCGCAUGAGGAAAAUGAUGCCAUAGAACAUAGAAAAACCUACAGCACAACACAGGCCCUUCGGCCCACAAUGCUGUGCCAAACAUGUUCUUACUUUAGAAAUUACUUAGGGUUACACAUAGCCCUCUAUUUUUCUGAGCUUUUUCUGAGCUAUGUUUGUGCGUGGCCUAGUGGAUAAGACAUCAGGUCUAGUGACCUGAAGGUCACUGGUUCAAGCCUCAGAUGAACUUGUCCUAACUUGUCUGUUCCUAUCUCUCUCCAAUGCUAUUGUAAAGGAGAUAGAAUUAUGAUCACUAUCUCCAAAAUGCUCUCCCAAUGAGAGACACGACACCUGACCAGGUUCAUUUCCCAAUACCAGAUCAAGUACAGCUUAUCUUGUAGGCUUAUCUACAUAUUGUGUCAAGAAACCUUCCUGAAUACACCUGUGCUAUGUUUGUUUCUUGAUCCUCUUUGAAGUUUAUACUCCUGAAUGUAUCAACCAUGAAUAUAAAGAUUUUUUUGCACUGUUUCUUCCUUUGUGUAUACUUUUUCAUCAUGAAUGAAGUGUAUUUUCAAAAUUUAAAACAGAAUCCCACAUGCUGAACAUGCAAGUAAUCAUUGUAUAGCUUGCUCACAAGCUAUUCAGCACAAUUAUCUAUGCUUAACAAGGUUUCCUUAAAAGGUAGUCCCAUUUCCACAGUAGCAGAGCGGUUAACGAGAUGCUAUUGCAGCUCAAGGAAGUCUGAGUUCAAUUCUGGCUCUGUUUGUAAGGAAUUUGUACAUACUCCCUGUAAAUUCAUGCGUUUCCUCCCAUUGCUCCCGUUUCCUCCCAUAGUCCAAACACCUACCAGUUAGUAGGUUAAUGGUCAUUGUAAAUUGUCCUGUGUUUAGGCUCGGGGUGAAUAUGUAGGUUGCUGGGCACUGUGGCUCAUUGAACCAGAAGGACCUGUCACGCGCAUUUUCUCUAAAUAAAAUAAAGGUUGUCGAAGAGCGAGGAAGUUUGACAUUGCUGUGCGUUUGGUCAGCACAGACUCAAUGGGUUGAGUGGACUGUUCUUGUGCUCUACGACUCUGUCACUGAUUGGCUAUUGAUAUUGUUGACCAAUAAUAAGGCAGAUUCAUUCACCAAUGCAGCACCAAAUGGCACCAUUCAGCCCAUUGUGCACAUGUCCACCCAAUGUGUUCUGGUCUUCUGAUCUUUUCCCAUUGUCAAAGUGAAAGUAAAUGUAUCAUCAAAGCAUGUAAACAUCACCAUAUACAACCUGAGGUCCAUUUUCUUGCAGGCAUUCAUAGUAGAAAAAGAAAUACAAUGGAAUCAAUGGAAAACUGUAUAUAAAGUCUGACAUGCAACCAAUAUACAGAAGACAAAUUGCGCAAAUGCAAGAUAGUAAAUCAAUCAAUCAAUCCCAGAACAUGAGUUGUAGAAUCCUUGAGAAUGAGUGAGUGUUAGUUGUGUUCAGUGAUCAGUUCAUUGUCUUGCAGACCUUUCCCAGCACUAAUCUAAUUAUUUUGAUUGCUAACCCCAGCCAUUCUGUUGCUGCUUUAACAUCUUUUGUCUCUGAUGCACCAUCAAUAGCAUCUCUCUGAGACGUGAAUGUAGUUCACCACAGUCUCCAAUUGUCUCUGAUAAUAUUUAUAAAUCCUUGUUGUGUAUUUAAAAUAUCGAUAAUAUUUGAGUAAUCUUGUGUGUCUGUGUAUAUAUAAAUAUACAGAUUAAGCAUUCGUGUUUGUUUAAAUAACUAAUUAUGGGUUAUAUGUAGAAGUAUGUUAAUUGCCUAUAUUGUCACGCAAUCACGUGAUAUCACUGUAAGUAAAAGGCAAAUUCCUACCUGCAUUUCAGACUCUGUGCGUCUUCCUUUAACUUAGUUUAAUGUUUUGAAGUUGCAAAAUAUAACAUUGGCAACAAGUU